rnacentral:rRNA from 1 species
UACGGGGGGGGCAAGCGUUGUUCGGAUUUACUGGGCGUAAAGGGCUCGUAGGUGGCCAAUUUAAGUCGGACGUGAAAUCCCCAGGCUCAACUUGGGAACUGCGUCUGAUACUGGUUGGCUUGAAUUCGGGAGAGGGAUGCAGAAUUCCAGGUGUAGCGGUGAAAUGCGUAGAUAUCUGGAGGAAUACCGGUGGCGAAGGCGGCAUCCUGGACCGAGAUUGACACUGAUGAGCGAAAGCCAGGGGAGCAAACGGG